rnacentral:rRNA from 1 species
GACGAACGCUGGCGGCGUGCCUAACACAUGCAAGUCGAACGGAAAGGCCCUGCUUUUGUGGGGUGCUCGAGUGGCGAACGGGUGAGUAACACGUGAGUAUCCUGCCCUUGACUGUGGGAUAACUUCAUGAAACUGGGGCUAAUACCGGAUAGGAGCUCCUGCUGCAUGGUGGGGGUUGGAAAGUUUCGGCGGUUGGGGAUGGAUUGGAGGCUUAUCAGCUUGUUGGUGGGGUAGUGGCUUACCAAGGCUUUGACGGGUAGCCGGCCUGGGAGGGUGAACGGCGACAUUGGGACUGAGAUACGGCCCAGAAUCGAACGGGAGGCAGCGGUGGAGAAUAUUGCACAGUGGGCGGGAGCGUGAUGCAGCAAUGCCGCGUGCGGGAAGACGGCUUGCGGGUUGUAAACCGAUUUCGCCUGUGACGAAGCGUGAGUGACGGUACCGGGUCAAGAAGCACCGGCUAACUACGUG